rnacentral:rRNA from 1 species
UACGAAGGGGGCUAGCGUUGCUCGGAAUCACUGGGCGUAAAGCGCACGUAGGCGGCUUUGUAAGUUAGAGGUGAAAGCCCAGAGCUCAACUCUGGAACUGCCUUUAAGACUGCGUCGCUUGAAUCAUGGAGAGGUUAGUGGAAUUCCGAGUGUAGAGGUGAAAUUCGUAGAUAUUCGGAAGAACACCAGUGGCGAAGGCGACUAACUGGACAUGUAUUGACGCUGAGGUGCGAAAGCGUGGGGAGCAAACAGG